rnacentral:rRNA from 1 species
GUGCUUAACACAUGCAAGUCGCACGAGAACGCUUCAGCUUGCUGAAGUUAGUAAAGUGGCGUACGGGUGAGUAACGCGUGGGUAAUCUACCCCCGAAUCGGGGAUAACCCGCCGAAAGGCGGGCUAAUACCGGAUAAUAUCUUAAAAACUUCGGUUUUAUAGAUCAAAAGGGGCCUCUACAUGUAAGCUUCUGGUUUGGGGAUGA